rnacentral:lncRNA from 1 species
UGAAGUAUCUGACAUGCUUGUGGUGACAUUUCAGUGACAUUUUCUGGCAGGAAGCUGAGGCCUGGUGUAAUGAAGUCACUUGCCUAAGGUAGCAUGAGAAGUAUGAAAUAAGGAUGUGAAGAAGUUCCAUGACAGGACUCCAAGCAUAAGACCAUCUUUCCUCCUUGAUUUUUACUUUCAUCAUCACCAUAAAUCCUGUUUACAAGACACUCCUCCAUAGAUCUUGAAGAUCAGAUUUGAUUCAGUAAGGUAGGUUUCAAUUUAAAACUCUAUCAUGCAUAUUGGGAAAGAACACUGGAGAGAUUAUAGGAAAAAUGA